GAUGAACGCCGGCGGCGUGCCUAAUACAUGCAAGUCGAGCGAAUGGAUUAAGAGCUUGCUCUUAUGAAGUUAGCGGCGGACGGGUGAGUAACACGUGGGUAACCUGCCCAUAAGACUGGGAUAACUCCGGGAAACCGGGGCUAAUACCGGAUAACAUUUUGAACCGCAUGGUUCGAAAUUGAAAGGCGGCUUCGGCUGUCACUUAUGGAUGGACCCGCGUCGCAUUAGCUAGUUGGUGAGGUAACGGCUCACCAAGGCAACGAUGCGUAGCCGACCUGGGAGGGUGAUCGGCCACACUGGGACUGAGACACGGGCCAGACUCCUACGGGAGGCAGCAGUAGGGAAUCUUCCGCAAUGGACGAAAGUCUGACGGAGCAACGCCGCGUGAGUGAUGAAGGCUUUCGGGUCGUAAAACUCUGUUGUUAGGGAAGAACAAGUGCUAGUUGAAUAAGCUGGCACCUUGACGGUACCUAACCAGAAAGCCACGGCUAACUACGUGCCAGCCGCCGCGGUAA
rnacentral:rRNA from 1 species